AAUCCUCACCAUGGAGGGAGAGGGGAACCCAGGCUAAGGCUCAGGAGCGGGGCCAGGGUUCCUUCCUCGGGGAAUCUGGGCCCAGGCGGUGACCUGAGGGCUUUGGGCUGCAGGCUCGGGGCCAGGCUUGUACGUCCUGCCGUCCACCGUGGGCUUCAUCAACCACGACUGCACCAGGGUGGCCAGUCCCGCCUACUCGUUCGUCCGGAGGCCCAGUGAGGCACCACCUCAGGACACCAGCCCGGGCCCCAUCUACUUCUUGGACCCCAAAGUCACACGCUUUGGCCGCAGCUGCACCCCUGCCUACUCCAUGCAGGGCCGGGCCAAGUCUCGGGGUCCGGAGGUGACGCCAGGCCCUGGGGCCUACAGCCCAGAGAAGGUGCCCCCUGUGCGCCAUCGGAAACCGCCGGCUUUCACCCUGGGCUGCCGCCUCCCUCUGAAGCCCCUGGACACCUCAGCCCCUGCCCCUAAUGCCUACACCAUGCCUCCUCUGUGGGGCUCACAGAUCUUCACCAAGCCCAGCAGCCCCAGCU
rnacentral:sRNA from 1 species